rnacentral:rRNA from 1 species
GGUUAAGCGACUAAGCGUACACGGUGGAUGCCCUGGCAGUCAGAGGCGAUGAAGGACGUGCUAAUCUGCGAUAAGCGUCGGUGAGGUGAUAUGAACCGUUAUAACCGGCGAUUUCCGAAUGGGGAAACCCAGUGUGUUUCGACACACUAUCAUUAACUGAAUCCAUAGGUUAAUGAGGCGAACCGGGGGAACUGAAACAUCUAAGUACCCCGAGGAAAAGAAAUCAACCGAGAUUCCCCCAGUAGCGGCGAGCGAACGGGGAGGAGCCCAGAGCCUGAAUCAGUGUGUGUGUUAGUGGAAGCGUCUGGAAAGGCGCGCGAUACAGGGUGACAGCCCCGUACACAAAAAUGCACAUAUUGUGAGCUCGAUGAGUAGGGCGGGACACGUGGUAUCCUGUCUGAAUAUGGGGGGACCAUCCUCCAAGGCUAAAUACUCCUGACUGACCGAUAGUGAACCAGUACCGUGAGGGAAAGGCGAAAAGAACCCCGGCGAGGGGAGUGAAAAAGAACCUGAAACCGUGUACGUACAAGCAGUGGGAGCCUCUUAAUGGGGUGACUGCGUACCUUUUGUAUAAUGGGUCAGCGACUUAUAUUCUGUAGCAAGGUUAACCGAAUAGGGGAGCCGAAGGGAAACCGAGUCUUAACUGGGCGUUAAGUUGCAGGGUAUAGACCCGAAACCCGGUGAUCUAGCCAUGGGCAGGUUGAAGGUUGGGUAACACUAACUGGAGGACCGAACCGACUAAUGUUGAAAAAUUAGCGGAUGACUUGUGGCUGGGGGUGAAAGGCCAAUCAAACCGGGAGAUAGCUGGUUCUCCCCGAAAGCUAUUUAGGUAGCGCCUCGUGAAUUCAUCUCCGGGGGUAGAGCACUGUUUCGGCAAGGGGGUCAUCCCGACUUACCAACCCGAUGCAAACUGCGAAUACCGGAGAAUGUUAUCACGGGAGACACACGGCGGGUGCUAACGUCCGUCGUGAAGAGGGAAACAACCCAGACCGCCAGCUAAGGUCCCAAAGUCAUGGUUAAGUGGGAAACGAUGUGGGAAGGCCCAGACAGCCAGGAUGUUGGCUUAGAAGCAGCCAUCAUUUAAAGAAAGCGUAAUAGCUCACUGGUCGAGUCGGCCUGCGCGGAAGAUGUAACGGGGCUAAACCAUGCACCGAAGCUGCGGCAGCGACACUAUGUGUUGUUGGGUAGGGGAGCGUUCUGUAAGCCUGUGAAGGUGGCCUGUGAGGGUUGCUGGAGGUAUCAGAAGUGCGAAUGCUGACAUAAGUAACGAUAAAGCGGGUGAAAAGCCCGCUCGCCGGAAGACCAAGGGUUCCUGUCCAACGUUAAUCGGGGCAGGGUGAGUCGACCCCUAAGGCGAGGCCGAAAGGCGUAGUCGAUGGGAAACAGGUUAAUAUUCCUGUACUUGGUGUUACUGCGAAGGGGGGACGGAGAAGGCUAUGUUGGCCGGGCGACGGUUGUCCCGGUUUAAGCGUGUAGGCUGGUUUUCCAGGCAAAUCCGGAAAAUCAAGGCUGAGGCGUGAUGACGAGGCACUACGGUGCUGAAGCGACAAAUGCCCUGCUUCCAGGAAAAGCCUCUAAGCAUCAGGUAACAUUAAAUCGUACCCCAAACCGACACAGGUGGUCAGGUAGAGAAUACCAAGGCGCUUGAGAGAACUCGGGUGAAGGAACUAGGCAAAAUGGUGCCGUAACUUCGGGAGAAGGCACGCUGAUAUGUAGGUGAAGCGACUUGCUCGUGGAGCUGAAAUCAGUCGAAGAUACCAGCUGGCUGCAACUGUUUAUUAAAAACACAGCACUGUGCAAACACGAAAGUGGACGUAUACGGUGUGACGCCUGCCCGGUGCCGGAAGGUUAAUUGAUGGGGUUAGCGGCAACGCGAAGCUCUUGAUCGAAGCCCCGGUAAACGGCGGCCGUAACUAUAACGGUCCUAAGGUAGCGAAAUUCCUUGUCGGGUAAGUUCCGACCUGCACGAAUGGCGUAAUGAUGGCCAGGCUGUCUCCACCCGAGACUCAGUGAAAUUGAACUCGCUGUGAAGAUGCAGUGUACCCGCGGCAAGACGGAAAGACCCCGUGAACCUUUACUAUAGCUUGACACUGAACAUUGAGCCUUGAUGUGUAGGAUAGGUGGGAGGCUUUGAAGUGUGGACGCCAGUCUGCAUGGAGCCGACCUUGAAAUACCACCCUUUAAUGUUUGAUGUUCUAACGUGGGCCCGUAAUCCGGGUUGCGGACAGUGUCUGGUGGGUAGUUUGACUGGGGCGGUCUCCUCCUAAAGAGUAACGGAGGAGCACGAAGGUUGGCUAAUCCUGGUCGGACAUCAGGAGGUUAGUGCAAUGGCAUAAGCCAGCUUGACUGCGAGCGUGACGGCGCGAGCAGGUGCGAAAGCAGGUCAUAGUGAUCCGGUGGUUCUGAAUGGAAGGGCCAUCGCUCAACGGAUAAAAGGUACUCCGGGGAUAACAGGCUGAUACCGCCCAAGAGUUCAUAUCGACGGCGGUGUUUGGCACCUCGAUGUCGGCUCAUCACAUCCUGGGGCUGAAGUAGGUCCCAAGGGUAUGGCUGUUCGCCAUUUAAAGUGGUACGCGAGCUGGGUUUAGAACGUCGUGAGACAGUUCGGUCCCUAUCUGCCGUGGGCGCUGGAGAACUGAGGGGGGCUGCUCCUAGUACGAGAGGACCGGAGUGGACGCAUCACUGGUGUUCGGGUUGUCAUGCCAAUGGCACUGCCCGGUAGCUAAAUGCGGAAGAGAUAAGUGCUGAAAGCAUCUAAGCACGAAACUUGCCCCGAGAUGAGUUCUCCCUGACCCUUUAAGGGUCCUGAAGGAACGUUGAAGACGACGACGUUGAUAGGCCGGGUGUGUAAGCGCAGCGAUGCGUUGAGCUAACCGGUACUAAUGAACCGUGAGGCUUAACCUU